rnacentral:rRNA from 1 species
GAUGAACGCUGGCGGCGUGCCUAAUACAUGCAAGUCGAGCGAACAGAUGAGGAGCUUGCUCCUCUGACGUUAGCGGCGGACGGGUGAGUAACACGUGGAUAACCUACCUAUAAGACUGGGAUAACUUCGGGAAACCGGAGCUAAUACCGGAUAAUAUAUUGAACCGCAUGGUUCAAUAGUGAAAGACGGUUUUGCUGUCACUUAUAGAUGGAUCCGCGCCGCAUUAGCUAGUUGGUAAGGUAACGGCUUACCAAGGCAACGAUGCGUAGCCGACCUGAGAGGGUGAUCGGCCACACUGGAACUGAGACACGGUCCAGACUCCUACGGGAGGCAGCAGUAGGGAAUCUUACGCAAUGGGCGAAAGCCUGACGGAGCAACGCCGCGUGAGUGAUGAAGGUCUUCGGAUCGUGAAACUCUGUUAUUAGGGAAGAACAAAUGUGUAAGUAACUAUGCACGUCUUGACGGUACCUAAUCAGAAAGCCACGGCUAACUACGUG